UUCUACAUUUUAAUGGUGUCGAACAGGGUUCUCUCUCUCCUCUCUCUCUCUCUACACGAUACCUUGCCAGACACAAGCCCACAACGCAGCCUUAUAUAUACUCUCUCUCUCACCAAAAACCAGGUGCGACAUCCUCCAAGUCGAGGUUUCAUUCAUUUAAUCUAUGUUAUUGAUUUUUCUAAAAUUUGAUGUUUGGAAACCCUAAUUUUUUCUGCUAAAAUUUUCUCUUAAAAUUUGUCUUUUUUAUUUCUCCAAAAAAAUUUCUGCCACUUUGCUGUAUCAAGCAUCCUCUCUGUUCUUGAAACGAGUGCUUCAAUGUUCUUUCCCUCCCAUUACUCUUUGCUCUAGAUCUUUAGCAUUACUUGCGGGAAUUCAUCAUCUCUCCAUAACUCCAUUAAGGUCCUCUGAAAACCCAUCCUUUCCUGCAACUAAAUUUUCAGAUUGGUGUAUUUAUUUGCUUCAAACCCAUCUCCAGAAGCUAUCUCAUACUAAUAAAUGGAAGUUGCAAUUUGGAAGGCCUACAAAUUGCUUGACUAGGGUUUGGAUUGCAUCGACCAGUAAAUGAAACUUGAGAAUAAUGAAAGUAUGAAACAGAACACAGAUGUGUAAAAUGAAAUGAAACUAUGGUUUACUGAUUCUAUUCACUGAACUUCUUGUGGGUAUUUAUAUUCUGAUUUCUGAAAUCAAUUAAGACAAUUAUAUUUUUACCCGAAUCUCGUUUGGGUGCUUUUUAUUUAUUUUUAGAAUUUGGCUGUGCUAUUUUUUAGUUUUUGUUGUAUUAUUUGGAUCUAGUUAGCUGCCCUAUAUAUGUUCAUUUGUUGAAAUCAAUGUCGACAUAUGUUAUGCAUGCGACUAUUAAGACCUCUAUUCACUGAGCUUCUUGUGAAUUCUUGAAUUUAUUUUUAGAAGAUAGAUUGUGCUAUUUUUUAGUUUUCGUUGCAUUAUUCGGAUUAAAUUAUUUACUUUUUGUCUUUUUAUUUGUCGUCAAUGUGGGGGCAUGUUUAUGCAUUCUGAAUAACAUGGCCAAGCGGGCAAUUCAAUACUUAGAAUAUGUGACAGAAAUGCAGUUUCAUUAUGUAAUGGAAAUGCACUUCAUUUCAUUAUGUGACCUUACUUUCGAUCAUAUCUUUAUGUGAUGGACGUGGUUCAAAAUAAAAUGGUAACAGCUGACAAUUUGAAACCGGUCAUCCAGAUCAAAAUUACAUUGCAAAUUUACAUUAUGGCCAACCACAUUCAGCCAAUGUGUGUUUUCUGCAAUUGUAUGUUUAUAUACAUGCAAUAGACCCAAAAAUCAACAAGUAUAUAUAUAUAUAUAUAUGUUUGUCUGUAUAAUUGUGUAUGUAAUUCUAUUGUAUCUGGGUGUAUGUAUAUGGUUGGCUUUCAU
rnacentral:lncRNA from 1 species